UGCGUAGGUGGUUUCUUAAGUCAGAGGUGAAAGGCUACGGCUCAACCGUAGUAAGCCUUUGAAACUGGGAAACUUGAGUGCCGGAGAGGUAAGCGGAAUUCCUAGUGUGGCGGUGAAAUGCGUAGAUAUUAGGAAGAACACCAGUGGCGAAGGCGGCUUACUGGACGGUAACUGACGUUGAGGCUCGAAAGCGUGGGGAGCAAACA
rnacentral:rRNA from 1 species